AGGCUGGAAAGAUAUACUUAUACCUUCCUCACAUACACCUCCAUAUUUUACAUAAGUUUCAUCACCAAACUCAACCAGAAAACCUCUGCCCAAAACUCAUCUCUCUUUCCUCCCCUAUACGCCAUUUCUGGCGGUAACAGCAGAGCUCACCUCUGCUUGUGUUUUCUCGAAAUUUUCCUCAAUAUUUCCUGCAUGCAAGACCUGAUCUUCGUUAUAUACAUAUAGGAGCAUACUGGGUAGCCAAGAAAUCAUUCGUUCAAGGUCAAGAAGUUCAAGAAAAAGAGACAUCUUCCUCAACCAGAAAAUCAGUAGGUGUUUAAGGAUUCCAAAUAAGUAAGAAUCUCAUCCAAAGGACAAGGAGAAGUCGAGUUACGCCAUUUACAAGUUAAGACUCUUGUGCAGGGAAUAGCAAGCUAAGGUAGUCCGAUGGAAGAGCUAGCUGUAGUGAAGUCAUGUCUCAACUAUCAUAGUGGAUCCAAGCUUGAACAUGAUCAUAUUUUGCGACUUACUUCUGUUUUAUGAAGAAUGUUUGAAUUUACGUUAUAAACUUAUUUUGGGCCUGUAAUAACUAACUUAUCUUUUGUGUGAUGAAUGUUCUUUUAAGAUUAGCUCGCAGAGUCAAUUCAGCUUUAUUAAUGGGUUGACUCCAGCAAGUGACAACCUCCGUAUUAUUUAAUUAUGAUUUUGCUU